GUUUCAGCGCCCAGCAAAACAUCCCAGCUGCUUCUGCCUCGAUAAACUGGUUCCUGGAAGCCAAACAGGACAUAUUGAAGAAAUCCAGUUUGUGCACCAAACCAGCAGAUGAGUGGAAUUUUUUGUUUGUGUAGCCUUAGAUUUUAAUCAGAUUGUGAACAACAACCAAGAUUGCCCCUUUAUCCAGCCUUCCCAGUGCACUGGUGUCCAUGUUCCCAAGACUGGCAUUGUUAACUGUUUUAGAAGCUCUCAUGACUCCCGAAAGUAUAAACUGCAGGUUGCAGUGGAAGUGUGACAGUGGAGAUGUGUAAGAAGUUGACUUUUAUUAGUUUAUUUGUUUCUGUUAGAAAACUAUUUGUCUAUAAAAGGGAAAGCGGCAUUCAAACUCAAGAUUAACACAAUAUUGAGAUAUAUAGAUAUAUAUAGGUAGAUAGAUAUAUUUCUGAAGGAUGUCCUUGAGUGAAUGUCCUAAGAUCCAGUUUGGAUCUUAGAGUUUGGUAUUAGAGUAGGACAAACUGUGGUGAGAAGACUUUCAUUCUCUGAAUGAAAGCUGGAGAACUGUGUUCCUUGAUUUAUCAUUAUGGUGCUGCUUUGUCUCCCUUAUCAAUUGCUCAGAAUUCAGUGGAUAAAACUGUAUAUAAUGUUUGCUGCCUGGAUUGACUAAUACCUUGGCUGAACCAAAGCCGGGCUUUCUGAUUCAAAGGGAGCUAAAUCCCACUUUUGGGCUGAUGUUUUGGAGAGCACAAAGCAGGUGCUGCACAUGCCGUGGUAAGAACAUGGUCACAGGAACAGAAACCCAGCGCUGAUGAAAAGGAACCACAUCUGCUGGGAGCCAAAUGGGACCUGACUAAACCUCAUCUUAGACUCAUCCUCCCCUUGCUUGUGAGCACAGUGCAACUGUGCUAUUGAAUAGAUUUUAUUUCCAGUUGCUUUUCCUAUGGGAAAAACAAAAACCAAACCAAACCAAAACAAAAUGUGUGGGUAUUUGAACAUACUAGGACAAGUGAGCCACCCUCUCAGGGUGUUUACCCAAUCUUUUAAAAUUUCACUUCCUCUGACAUUUUUAUUUAUCUUGGCACAUAAAUACUAAGCCAAGCUGUUUUCCCUUUCCUGAGCUCAGUGUUUUUAAAGGAAGCUGAUGUUCAGCCUUGCUAAAGAAUUUCAGAGCCCUUGAGAGGAGGACCAUGGAUAAGAAGAACGAUCCACAUCUUGCAGGAAUGUCCUCCCAAAUUUUCUGCUGCUCACAACAAACUGAAAAAAUCUCAACUCAGAAGGACCAUGUGAUGCCAAUGCUGCAGGUCUUGUAUGAUUCAGGAUAAUAUGAUUACAGAAAGUUUAAAGGAGACUUGACCUGAAGAUAAAGACAGUCGUGGAGGCUGAAUUGAUGCAGAGGACAUACAUGACUGCAAUGUGCACAGCAGCAUUUCGGGCACCUGCUUCAGUGAAAAUUCAGAAG